rnacentral:lncRNA from 1 species
CUGUGAUUGGGUGCUUUAUGCAUUCUGUCUUCCCGAAAAUUGAUGUUAACAUUAUCUCCAUCUUGGGAGGAAAAUGCUAUUUUUAAGGGACUAUGUCCUCUAGCACCAAGUUAGUGAAGCCCACAUUGUAUGCAAGUGUGUUCAAUUCCAAAGAGAAAGGCAAUCUACAGGGCAUCAGGAAGACAUCGGAAGCCUUUCAAGAGCCUAUCAGUCAACAUUUCGAACUUGCCUUCUGUGGAACUGCACAUAGGGCCUGGAUGUGAGUUGAAGCUGGAUGAAAUAAGGAGUUUCUUUUUCUUAUAGCAACAUAUAUAUUCACCUUAGUAAUUGGAGGCAAGAAUUUUAAGUUGACAGGAUGUUUGCUUUUUUCUAUACUCAUCUUUGGUGACGACACAGCUAGCUGAAGUGACUGAAUUUUCUGAGAAUGGUACUUAUAGAUAGAGGAGAAUUUAGAAGUCGAUUUAAUGUUUUUAUUCAUCUUUGAAAGUGUUUUACAUAGGAAUCUCAUUGAAAUAAUGUUUCUUAGGUUUCAAAUUCUGCUAGCUAAAAUUUGCUUGUUUUAGACAUGAUAGUAAAGAGAAAAGUUAUAUAAAGAGAAAAGAAAAAGAUAAUGUAUGUCUGCUGCUUACACUGAGAUAAUUCAAUUUUAACUGAGUUUUUCUACUAAAUCUUAGAAAUUGUUUUAUCUCUCUUUAGUUAAUUUGAAACAGAUAUCAGAGAAAAUCAGUAAUUUUGUGAAGGACAACAGACAACUUGCAGAAAAUAUAGCCAAUAUGGAACAGAAGAUACUGGAAAAAGAAAAUUCUACAGAGGACAUGAAAGAUGCUAUUUUAGCGAACACCUCAGGAAUUUCAGAGUGUGAAAGUGCCUUUAAUGAAGCUUGUGUCAGUGAAGUGGAAGUGAAACCUGAAGAACUGCAUGAACAGAAUGUUCAGCUCAACACCGAGAAGAAUCAGGUAACAAGUUUUACUCCCACAGACUGUUUAAUUCAGAAAACUGAAAAAUCGAUACUUCCUUUUCAAUUAUUUUAAAUUCUAUAUUGGAAUAUAGUUGACUUAAAAUGUUGUAUUAGUUCCAGAUGUACAGCAAAAUGAUUUGGUUAUACAUAUACAUGUAUCCUUUUUUCAGAUUUUUUCCCAUAUAGGUUAUUAGAGAACAUUGAGUAGAUUUCCUGGUGCUAUGCAGUAGAUCCUUGCUCAUUAUCUAUUUGAAAUAUAGUAGUGUGUAUAUAUUUAAUCUUAAAUUCCUAAUUAAUCCCCCUACCAUUCUUCUUUGGUAACCAUAAGUUUGUUUUCU